rnacentral:rRNA from 1 species
GACGAACGCUGGCGGCGUGCUUAACACAUGCAAGUCGAACGAUGAAGCCGGAGCUUGCUCUGGUGAAUUAGUGGCGAACGGGUGAGUAACACGUGAGUAACCUGCCCUUGACUCUGGGAUAACUGCGGGAAACUGUAGCUAAUACCGGAUACGACCCUCGGAGGCAUCUCCUGGGGGUGGAAAGAAUUUCGGUCAAGGAUGGACUCGCGGCCUCUCAGCUAGUUGGUGAGGUAAAGGCUCACCAAGGCGACGACGGGUAGCCGGCCUGAGAGGGUGACCGGCCACACUGGGACGGAGACACGGCCCAGACUCCUGCGGGAGGCAGCAGUGGGGAAUAUUGCACAAUGGGCGCAAGCCUGAUGCAGCAACGCCGCGUGAGGGAUGACGUCCUUCGGGUUGUAAACCUCUUUUAGCAGGGAAGAAGCGAAAGUGACGGUACCUGCAGAAAAAGCACCGGCUAACUACGUGCCAGCAGCCGCAGUAA